rnacentral:rRNA from 1 species
UGGGGAAUAUUGGGCAAUGGGCGAAAGCCUGACCCAGCAACGCCGCGUGAGGGAAGAAGGGUUUCGGCUCGUAAACCUCUGUCCUAUGGGACGAAGGAAGUGACGGUACCAUAGGAGGAAGCCCCGGCUAACUACGUGCCAGCAGCCGCGGUAAUACGUAGGGGGCGAGCGUUGUCCGGAAUGAUUGGGCGUAAAGGGCGCGUAGGCGGCCUGUUAAGUCUGGAGUGAAAGUCCUGCUUUCAAGGUGGGAAUUGCUUUGGAUACUGAUGGGCUGGAGUGCGGGAGAGGAAAGCGGAAUUACCGGUGUAGCGGUGAAAUGCGUAGAGAUCGGUAGGAACACCAGUGGCGAAGGCGGCCUACUGGGCACCAACUGACGCUGAGGCUCGAAAGCAUGGGUAGCAAACAGGAUUAGAUACC